AUUGAACGCUGGCGGCAGGCCUAACACAUGCAAGUCGAACGGUAACAGGAAGCAGCUUGCUGCUUCGCUGACGAGUGGCGGACGGGUGAGUCAUGUCUGGGAAACUGCCUGAUGGAGGGGGAUAACUACUGGAAAUGGUAGCUAAUACCGCAUAACGUCGCAAGACCAUAGAGGGGGACCUUCGGGCCUCUUGCCAUCGGAUGUGCCCAGAUGGGAUUAGCUAGUAGGUGGGGUAACGGCUCACCUAGGCGACGAUCCCUAGCUGGUCUGAGAGGAUGACCAGCCACACUGGAACUGAGACACGGUCCAGACUCCUACGGGAGGCAGCAGUGGGGAAUAUUGCACAAUGGGCGCAAGCCUGAUGCAGCCAUGCCGCGUGUAUGAAAAAGGCCUUCGGGUUGUAAAGUACUUUCAGCGGGGAGGAAGGCGAUAAGGUUAAUAACCUUGUCGAUUGACGUUACCCGCAGAAGAAGCACCGGCUAACUCCGUGCCAGCCGCCGCCGUAA
rnacentral:rRNA from 1 species